rnacentral:rRNA from 1 species
GAUUUCUGGCACGAUUUGCCUGGCCCGCCACGGUUUCGUGUGUGAGUGCCGGGUCGGAUCUGCCAUCCUUCCAGAGAAUGGUCCUACCCUUCACUGGGCCGGGGCCAAGAUCUGGAUCGUUUACUUUGAAAAAAUUAGAGUGUUUCAAGCAGGCGACUCGCUGUGAAUACAUUAGCAUGGAAUAAUAACUUAGGACUUCGGUUCUAUUUUGUUGGUUUCUAGGACUGAAGUAAUGAUUGAUAGGGAUAGUUGGGGGUGCUAGUAUUCAGUGGCCAGAGGUGAAAUUCUCGGAUUCACUGAAGACUAACUUAUGCGAAAGCAUU